UCGGUAUCACGAUCUCUAUUUCCUUUACUGAUGCAGAGUUGAGGGCCAGAGUUUACCCCGACAGUGUGAGAGCUGGAGACAACGUUACUCUCAAAUGUCAAACGUCCUGCCAGUUUCCCAGCACAGUUUGGUUUAAAGGUGAACUUCCUGUAGCCAACUCAGAGUUCCAGGCUCAAGCAGAGGAUGCUGGGAAUUAUUGUUGUGCUGCCAAAGGACAGGAGUCCAUUCCAUCUGAACCUGUGGCUCUGAAAGUACAGUAUCCCCCGUUGAUUGUAUCUGUGGGGUGAGUUAUUCGGACCACCUGACAGAAGUGUGAAUGUGAGCUGCAACAGUGCUGCUGACCCUCCUGCAGACAACUACACCUGGUACAGGACCUCUGCUUCUGGCUCCAGCUCCUGGUUUCCCCUCCCGCUGGGAUCAGGACCGGUGCUGUCUCUCUCCUCACGCUGGACUGGUGGCAGAGAAGCACCAAUGAUCAUGACAACAUCGGCACUGACUAAAUGGGCGAAAUAAGCUCAAGGUACAAACCGACCGCGACCUCCUUUCCUUGCAAAGGUUCAGUCCUUCUAACGCCACUGGAGACAUCACCAAGAAAACAGAACUUAAUUUCAAUGAAUGAAGGCAAAAUGUGCAAAAUGUCUCUCAAUAAAUACCUUUUCAUCAUGAA
ensembl:lncRNA